ensembl:lncRNA
AGGGGUUUUGGGGGGUGGACAUGGAAUGGGACGCUGGCUGGCACAUAUGGAGAAGUCUCAUGGAAGAACAAUAAGGAAAAGCCCAGCGCAUACUCCAUUAAUUUCCUUUUUUCCCCUUCAAUAAGUAAACUUAAAGUAUUCGUGAAAUGAGCACUAAAGCCUCUUUAACAGUGUUUUCACAGCUGGCCGACUCCCCCCCUGCUCCGGCAGUAAAGGUCCUUCCUGAAUGAACAUUAACAUGGGAAGGCUGUAACAUCAUACUUGGCAGUCCUGCAUCGCCACUAAACACCUAGUGAACCCGGCUCAUAGACCCGCCAGCCAGAAUUUUCUGCAAAUACUUGGAUCCUUCAAAUCCAGAAAAAAAGAUACAGAAAGAAAUAUGCUAAAAUUCUGCAUAACAAGGGAGUCCUUCCGGAAAAAUAAACCAGUGUUAAAAAAAGUGUGGAGACAAUCCCCUCAAAUCCCAAAUAUCCCACAUACAUGGUUCAAACCUUUGUUGUUUAUGGAUUUUUAAAAGACAGUGAAAUAAGGAAAAUAUUAUAUAUACUGUAGUUUUUAUUGCUGGGCUGAACUUUAUAUCUCGAAUAUUCAAAUAUUUUGGUUUAUGACCAAAUACCUACUUAAGGAAUAUGUAUUAUCUUAUCUCUAGUAAUAUAUAUGUGAAAAAAUAUAUAUAAAACCAGACUUGAAUGUAAUUAUAAUUAUGUUAUUAAAUAUAGUUUAUUCAGAGUGAAAUCAUUUCAAUUUUUGGUAUAUUAAGUACAUUUUGAUGCAAACACUUUGUUUCUCUCGUUAGACUCUCGUUAAAAUGACAAACUUUUUGACAAACAGAACAAGAAUGCUGCAUAAUGUGAGGACUAAAAAAUCUGUCAGAAGCGAGGAAACCGUCACAACCAUUCCACACAGUCAUUACCUUGAUCGGAUGACUGAUUGGAGUCAGCCAGCGUUGCUUUCGUAUGAAAUUAAAUGUGUCCGUUAGUAAGCAAGGAUCACUAAUUAUCACUACCAAGUAUCCCGUUAGCUCACGCCAUCGGCCGCGCAUGCGUGGGGACCUAUUGGACAUCCCCGCUCUAUACGAACCAGUCUCAGUUUAGUCCUGCUAUUGAAGUUGUUUUUAUUCUUAAGUAAAUAUGUUCUGUAUAAAGUGUGUAGCAUUGACUGGAACUUUUCAUCCUCCUUGGUUUCUGAAGGUUGAGUGAAAGCCGUGAUCCUGAACCUCAGGUUAAGAACUACUGCUUCCAGUUUCUGGAGGAAAUAUUGAAUCAUAUGGAAAGGUUCAAGUGAAGUAGCAGAAGUGAAGAUGGACUGAGUUUAACAUGUGGAUAUUUAAUCACAGCCUCUUCUGUCUCUGCAGCCUCACACCCACAUGCUCACAUGCUCUCACUCACUUCCCACUAAAGGGAACACGAAGUGACAGCAUUGUGUACAGAGGAUUAAGUGUUUUAGAAACCUACCACGAGUGGCAGAAAACUACAAAAUACAACAGGAAGUGAACCACACCGUGACAGAAGUAAAACAAACUGUGGUGCGACAUACAGCAGAGAACUGUGCAGAGGAAUUACUCCACGUAUCAAACUGAAGGGGGGUGAGUAGCAAACGGACGGACCACUUACAUUACCAAUUAAACAACAGUGUCUAAAAUACACCUUCUAAAGUGAUCAUUACUUUUACUACUUAACUUUUUAGAUUUAGUCUAUAGAAGAACAAACAUUCAUUAUAAACAACAUUGUAACAACAACAAUAUUCAUUAAUCGCCAUUAAUCGAGAUCAAUGAAUUUCAAAAUGUCCGAUUAAUUAAUUAAUUUUUUUAAUCUAUUGACAGCCCUAAUGUUUGGAAUAUGUUUGUUCAAUAUCAGUGUAUUAUAAGUAAUGUAUGUUCUGUAAAUGUGAUGUGUUGUUGUCAGGGAUGCGUGGGAAGGCAGGUUGUUAUAUAUAUGUUAUGUAAAUGUAUAACUGGUUAUAGUGGGAAUGAGGGGGAUGGAAGCAGAGGUCAUGUGAAGUUAACAAUGGCGGAGGACUGCUACGUUGUCACGGUGACGGGGCGGAGAAGGGAGGGCGGUUGGAGCCUUCCCCUGGGAACAUCUCGAGCCAAAAAACGUUUGUAUCCGUGUUAGCUCUCUAGUGGUAUCCAUGCUAGCUAGUUGGUGGUAAUUUUGUUCGUUGGUGGUAUCACUGUUAGCUCGUAGGUGGUAUCUUUGUUAGCCCAUUGGUGGUAUACAUGUUAUCUCUUCAGUGGUUUCUCUGUUAGCUCGGUGAUGGUAUCUAUGUUAGCUCUCCGGUGGUAUCCAUGCUAACUCGUUGGUGAUAUCUCUGUUAGCCCAUUGGUGGUAUACAUGUUAUCUCUUCAGUGGUUUCUCUGUUAGCUCGUUGAUGGUAUCUAUGUUAGCUCUCCGGUGGUAUCCAUGCUAACUCGUUGGUGAUAUCUCUGUUAGCUCGUUGGUGGUGUCCACGAUAGCUCUUCAGUGGUAUCUUUGUUAGCUCGUUGGUGGUAUCCGUGCCACGGACCGGUGACAUCGCAGUUGAGGCCUCUGUGAUCUCAGCAGAUGUUUGAAGUGGUGAAGACAAACAGGUCAUUUAUGGUUUCUGGUCUGGGAAUGGAGGUUUCUACUCUGAACUUCUCCCAGAGAACUUUCUGUCAGAACACAAAAAUACUUAAAAUACCACCAUAAACGUGUGAAGCCUUUGAAUGAGUAGGAUCAGAAGAAAAAAAGAUUACUAAACCGCAGGUCUCCAUUUCUUCACGUAUCUCAGAUAUCUGAAAGACCGUUAGAGCAUCAUCAGGUCAAGGACCCUCUGACAACCUUUAUCAUAGUGUAUCUGAUGGGUGCUUGGAACACCCCUGGAAUUAUGUUCAAAAAUCAUUGAGAUGCUCUGAAGGAUAUCUGAAACAGUUAGAAGGAGUCUUCGUCAUCAUACAACGUCCCUUAUUGACCCUUGAAAUGUCCCCAGUGCUUUCUUGUCCCGCCCACACCCCAAAAAAUCCUAAAAGACUCUUAAAACCUCCACAAGGACCUGUGAAAUACUUGCGAGGACCUUUGCUGACCUUAAAGAACCACCUGAAGACACCUACCAAAACAAAUAAAUGACUUGUACUUGUACUGUAAUUGUUCUUCAGAACACAUUUCCAUGUUUUAUUUGUGAAAUUUUACCAGUUGUAGAUAAAGAUUGCUCUGACUUCACGCUGCAGCUGCUGCAUCGGAUGCACAAGUCCAAAAAUCACCAUCACAUCUCUGCACGCGCUCAAAUCCUCCCAGGACGGCUGAGUGUGUGUGUGUGUGUGGGACGGCUGACCUUUCUUUCACACUUUUCAUUCUCUUCCUCGCUGCAGAGAGGAGGUGGAGUGACCCUCUUCUUCCUCUUCAUCCUCCUCUGAACCUUCACAGCAGGGUUAAUGUAAGACCACCUCCCCCGACACACACACACACACACACACACACACACACACACACACACACACACACACACACACACUCCAUUGGACGGAAACAAAAGUGAGUUACAAACGUGCACUGUUUUAUAACUAUUCUUAAAAAUCACAGAACAUACGAUGGAAAUCCAGUCUGAAGGUCCCGAGCAUAUCAGGUUAAGGGAGGAUUCUUUUUUUGUAACUGUUGAAUAAUUCCUUAAAUCCUCGUCUGUCAACAUACAGAGCAGAACAUUAACCACGAUUCAGAGGUCCAAUUCCCGCUGUCCACCCGUCCCUACUCAAACCUCCAUACAGGCAGAACUGAGACGACCCCCCCCCCCCCCGUUCCUCAGGGAUUCCCUGACCUCUGAGAGUUUUCCGACAGCAGUUUGAGUUUUCUGUUUCUUUUUAUAAAGGAAAACAUCCAGAAAGGGGAGUCUCUUUUUUUUUAAUGUUCUCACGAGUCUCUGAGGUGUAAUCUGGAGUUUAAUGGAGAGCCGGCAGCAGUCCGGAGAACAGGAAACCCUGCAGGGAAGAUCAACACCAGCCCACGUGGAGAAAACAUCUAUCAGUUAGCUUUGGAUCCAAAGAAAAAUAACCCUGAACACUGGCUCAAGGACCCCUGGAGCACACGCAUGGAACAUUGGCACUCCAUCAAGGACUACUAGAAAGUCCCCAAAACCCGCUUCUGCACCCAAAAAGGACCCUCGAGACCCCAAAGGGAUCAGAGAACCCUCUCAAUGACACCAAGAAUACCCUUAUCUCGGAAACCACUUCCUCCAAACCUCCAUAAGGUUGGUCCCUGGAAUGUCCUUAAGGUCCACAUGGACCCUCGCAACAAUAUGCAGAAGGUUCCCCACACAACGUAGAACCUCAGGAAGGACUGACUCUUAACCAUCCACCUCUAGAACCCUAGAAUUACUAGAAUCCUCUGAGUAAGCCUCUCAUGAAGGUUCCUUUAAGAAGGAUCCUCAAUGACCUAAUUCAUUUAGCAGCCAUACAAUUUGGUUUAUUCCAAAUUUAUUUCUGUAUAAUACAUUUAAUAUUUGACUUAGUUUGCAAAUUUUGUUUAUAAGUCAUAGAAGUGGUUUAUGAUAUAAUGAAUGUGAGAAAUGGGUAUCGAGAUGGUUACAAUUCCUCCUCAUCACUGUGCUCAUCUAACUUUCCUCACAGUUAUUAUGUACAAUAUAUAAUAAGUUAUACAUUAUAUAUAAUAAUAAUAAUAAUGGAGCACUGACUAUUUGACUUAAAAAAAACCUGUUUCCCAGACACCUGGAACUUCCUCGACAAGCAUUAAAACCUGCUAUGAGGCCCGCAAAUCCCCCUGAAGGCACUUAAUCACCCCCCCGAAUUCUUCCCCAGGGCCCCUGCAACACCCCCAAGGACGCCCGAGAACCGCCAUCAAACCCCCGGCUGUGCUACAAUGCCCUCAUUGCACAAACCGGCGAAAAACGGGCCUGCAAAUGUUUGUCUUGCAUGCAGCUGGAUAUUGAAAAUAUUAACUCAAGUUAUUCUUAACAAUGAAGGAGGGGAUGGGGGGCAGAGGGGGGAUUGGAGGGGCUCGUUGGGGCCAACAUCGGACUCCGCAAAUACAAAAAAACCCGAGAGCGGGAAGUGAUUUAUCUGUUCUUCAGAAAGCAGAAACUUCUCAAACGUAAAAAAGCACAGAAGUGGGGUGGGGGGGGGGUCCCUGGGGAUUGGACGCCUCGAGGGGGGUGGGGGGUGUUAUUGUGUUAUUCUUCAUCUCAUCUUCGCCUCAGACGACGACGCUGCGUAUUCGAGUCCCCGGUGACGGACGAUAUUAAAGCGACGCCAUGAUGACACACCGACAACGACCUCCAUCAGCGCCUCAAUAGUUCCUCUUUUUAUCCUGGCUUUGUGUGUAAUUGUGUGUGUGCAAGUGUGGUUGUGUGUGUGUGUGUGUGUGUGUGUGUGUGUGACUCCACCUCACCGGGAGCUGCUGCUCGUCUCCAGGCGGGUGAAAACAAAAGGAGGGCAGCAAAGGUUUUUACUAAUUAUGUUUCAAAUUAAAACUGAACAGGUUCAUGU